rnacentral:rRNA from 1 species
UACCGCAUAAUGUCUUAGAUCAUUACGAGCUGGACCAAAGGUGGCCUCUACAUGUAAGCUAUCGCGUUGGGAUGGGCCCAGUUAGGAUUAGCUAGUUGGUAAGGUAAUGGCUUACCAAGGCGACGAUCCUUAGCUGGUUUGAGAGGAUGAUCAGCCACACUGGGACUGAGACACGGCCCAGACUCCUACGGGAGGCAGCAGUGGGGAAUAUUGCACAAUGGGGGAGACCCUGAUGCAGCCAUGCCGCGUGUGUGAAGAAGGCCUUCGGGUUGUAAAGCACUUUCAGCAGUGAGGAAGGUGGUGUACUUAAUACGUGCAUGGCUUGACGUUAGCUGCAGAAGAAGCACCGGCUAACUCCGUGCCAGCAGCCGCGGUAAUACGGAGGGUGCGAGCGUUAAUCGGAAUUACUGGGCGUAAAGCGCAUGCAGGCGGUUUGUUAAGUCAGAUGUGAAAGCCCGGGGCUCAACCUCGGAACCGCAUUUGAAACUGGCAGGCUAGAGUCUUGUAGAGGGGGGUAGAAUUUCAGGUGUAGCGGUGAAAUGCGUAGAGAUCUGAAGGAAUACCAGUGGCGAAGGCGGCCCCCUGGACAAAGACUGACGCUCAAAUGCGAAAGCGUGGGUAGCAAACAG